UGAGGAAUAUUGGUCAAUGGGCGCGAGCCUGAACCAGCCAAGUAGCGUGAAGGAUGAAGGUCCUAUGGAUUGUAAACUUCUUUUAUAGCAGAAUAAAGUGACCCACGUGUGGGUUUUUGUAUGUAUGCUAUGAAUAAGGAUCGGCUAACUCCGUGCCAGCAGCCGCGGUAAUACGGAGGAUCCGAGCGUUAUCCGGAUUUAUUGGGUUUAAAGGGUGCGUAGGCGGAAAGAUAAGUCAGCCUGUGAAAGUUUGCGGCUCAACCGUAAAAUUGCAGUUGAUACUGUUUUUCUUGAGUGUACAUAAGGUAGGCGGAAUUCGUGGUGUAGCGGUGAAAUGCUUAGAUAUCACGAAGAACUCCGAUUGCGAAGGCAGCUUACCGGGGUACAACUGACGCUGAUGCACGAAAGUGUGGGUAUCAAA
rnacentral:rRNA from 1 species